rnacentral:misc_RNA from 1 species
AACUGCUCAUACAUAAUCCUCAAGGUAAAGUUUCCUUCUGAUAGUUUUUGCAGAAGCUCAGGUUGUUGAUCCAUAGGAACAACCUCAUGAAUUUUGUCCAUGAAUCCAGACCAGUCACCCAUUCCUAACAGGCGACUAACAAAAGGUUUAACAUCAAAAACUUCAAACUCAUCCAUAUGCUCUCCUGUUCCAAUAAAUAUAACAGGACUCUUUGUUGCUGCAACAGCACUAAGAGCACCACCACCCUUUGCAUGACCAUCCAUUUUGGUAACAAUCACAGCUCCAACUGCAACACUUUGCUUAAAUGCUUGAGCUUGAUCAAAUGCGGCUUGACCAAUACUGCUAUCCAUAACAAAUAUAACAAGAUCGGGUUUCGUUGCUUCAGAAACUUGGCGCAUUUCUUCAAAAAGAGCAGCUUCCUGUUUAUGGCGCCCACUGGUAUCAACAAUUAUAAGAUCACAAUUUUCCUUCUUGAAUCUUUCGACUCCUUCCACUGCAAUCUUGACAGGAUCCGAUUCCAUAUAACUUCCAUAAAAUGGUAUCUUAGCUUUGGUGGCAUUCUGCUUUAGCUGAUCAAAAGCACCAGCUCUGAAUGUAUCAGCACAGACUAGAGCAGGUUUCCAACCUUUUUUCUGAUGAUAAUAUGCAUAUUUAGUACAUGUAGUGGUUUUCCCAGACCCUUGUAAACCAACAAACAUAACAACACUUGUUUUCCCUUUCUUCGGAGUAAAAGAUGGCUUCCCCGGAUCCAACAUUUUGCAGAGCUCGUUAAAAAUCGCCUGCUGGAUGAUUUUGCGCUUGUUGUGACCAGCAGCGAGAUCAUCGAGAUUGACAAUCUUCUUGAUAUUAGUCUGCAUGUCGCGGACAAGCUUGAAUUGUACAUCGGAUUGAAGCAGAGCGCGGGUGAUCUCGUUGAGGCAGUCAUUCAAAACCUUCUCGUCGAUGAUUGUGGCAUUGCUCAUCUGCUGGAUUGCCCGGGAUAUGCUCCCUCCCAACUGUGCUAACACCAUUUUCGAAGAUUUGUACAAGAUUCUCACAAUUAGGGUUUCUGAGAGAGAAAUUGGGGAUUAGGUUUUUAUGAAAUUGAUAUAUAAGACUAGAAGAGGGAGGUAGAAAUCCUGGAAUCGAUUAAAAAAGCAACCAGGCGUAUUG